rnacentral:rRNA from 1 species
CACGUAGGCACCAAGCGUUGUCCGGAUUUAUUGGGCGUAAAGCGCACGUAGGCGGCUUAGCAAGUCGGAAGUGAAAUCCCACGGCUCAACCAUGGAAGUGCUUUCGAAACUGCUGAGCUUGAGUACGAAAGAGGAUCGCGGAAUUCCCGGUGUAGAGGUGAAAUUCGUAGAUAUCGGGAGGAACACCAGUGGCGAAGGCGGCGAUCUGGGUCGAUACUGACGCUGAGGUGCGAAAGCGUGGGGAGCAAACAGG